AUGACCCUUAGAUCUUGUAGUGUUGUGGUUAAGAUUGUUCCCUGGUCUUCCAAUGUUGGAGCAAAGGGUGUUAUGGAAGUUGCUUGGGUUAGAGUGGCCAACGUUCCACUGGAACGGAGGAAUGAGAGGAACUUGGCUUAUGUCUCAUCUCUGGUAGGCGUUCCACAUGAAAUUGACAUGGCCACUUUGCACAAGCCCGAAUAUGUGCGAGUCCGGCUGGGAUGUCGCAAUGUGGACGAGCUCCCUGGUAUUGCUGAGGCUGUUCUGGGAACACAUUUCUUUGAUUUCUUUUAUGACAUUGAAAAGGUUUUGGUCAGAGACCUUGAGAGAGAGAGAAAGAGAGAGAGAGCAAUGUGA
rnacentral:rRNA from 1 species